rnacentral:rRNA from 1 species
GACGAGCCGUCCAAACGUUGUUCGGAAUCACUGGGCUUAAAGGGCGCGUAGGCGGACUGCCAAGUCCGGGGUGAAAUCUUUCGGCUUAACCGGAAAAGGGCCUUGGAAACUGGCGGUCUCGAGGGAGGUAGGGGCCUGUGGAACUUCGGGUGGAGCGGUGAAAUGCGUUGAUAUCCGAAGGAACGCCGGUGGCGAAAGCGACGGGCUGGAUCUCUUCUGACGCUGAGGCGCGAAAGCCAGGGGAGCAAACGGGG